rnacentral:rRNA from 1 species
UUUGAGUUGAAGCCUUACGCACCAUGGAUUAUGCGAUUCAUCAGAACAAGGUCUUCACUCAACUACAAGGCUGACACUCUCAACCAUUGCAGCUACUUACCCCCCAUUGAAGUCCUCAAAAGGACAUUUUCCUCAGCUGAUGAAAAGGGCAAGGCCGCUGCUGUUAUAGAUGAAGGCAUUCGUCCAUUGGAUGGUCAGUUUUGCAAAGCUGCAUCUUAUUCCACCAAUGAUGACUCUGCCACUCAUGAUUCUGCUGCUAAUGCUUCCAAGCCAAAUCCUCAAGCUACUGCUCCUCGAGUGAUGACUGACCGUGAGCUGCUUCUUAGUCUUCACCAGAAGGUGGAUGAAACCAUAAAU